rnacentral:lncRNA from 1 species
GCCCAUGUGGCAGCGGGGUGCGGACAGAUGGAUUAAAGACUUACCAUUACAACUCCUUGCAGAUCCACCAGAGCAAGAAGAGGUUGGAUCAGGAGGAGUUUGCCAAUGGAGAAAGGUGUGGAGAAGAAUGAGUCAAAAGAACAGGCAACUAAUUCUUCACAAGCUAUACAAUAAAAACAGAUUUAUUU